AUGAAUAUCUACUGAGCCCAGAGCCUUACCAAGCCUAGAGCACUGAGAACUUGCUGGAUCUGGAAAAGAACUGGGUGGCUUUGCCAUGUCAGCUUGCUCUGCAUAUCUCAGACUUUGUCAUUUUUGCAAUGUGAAAACAACAAGAGCAAAACACUUCAGGAGGUCAUCUACAUUUCUUGGCUCAUGGCCCCUUUCCUUCAUCUUCAAAGCCAGCAGCAUGGAAUGUUCAAAUCUCUCUCCCACUCUGACAUUCUUAUCUCCCUCUUAUAAGGACCAUUGUGAUUACACUGAGGCUAUUCGGACAUUCCAGGAAAAUCUUCCCAUUUUAAGAUCCUUAAAUUAAUCACAUUUAUAAAGUGCUUUUUGCCACAUAAGGUAACAUGUUCACAGGUCCAGGGAAUCAGGAUGUGAACAUCUUGGGGGUCUUUAUUCAUCUUACCACAGCAUAUUUUCAUAAGAUGAAGCUCAGUGCCUAAAGUGAAAAAAUGCUUAAAGGAAGGGUUAGAUGUUUGCAAGACCUUGUGAGUACAGAGAAUAAUGGGGUGCCCCAAAUAUUAACACCACCUUAAGCUGUGUUAAUAAGUAUAGAAUGUCCAGAAUGUGGGAGGAGACAGUGCUGAACUAGGCCAAGAGACUGUGGACUAAGAGGACAUGCGACAUACUGAGACACUAGCUGGGGCAGCCAAGGGAGUGCUGGCAUCACCCAUCCUCAACCCUAGGCUUCACAGCUCAGUUCCAAAAGAGACUCCUUCAUUCUGCUUGAGGAGAGGAAAGGGAAAUGUGCAGAGGACUUUGUCUUGCAUCUAGGAUACUGGAUACCAGCUCAGCCACAGCAGGAUAGGGCACUGGCCAGAGUCAUGAGGUCCCUGUUCCAGGAUCUAGCUCCAUGACAACAUUUUGAGACACACCUUGGGCCAUAAGGAAACUUGCUGCCUUGAAGAAAAGGGCCCAGUCAUGACAGCAUUCAUCACCUGCUAACUGAAGAACUCUUCGGUCUUAAUCAGAACCGAUACCCAGGUCCUACAUCCAGGGUCUUGGGUGAGCCUCUGAGACUUGCUGGCUUCAGGUGAAACUCAGAACAUUACUAGCUGUUGUGGCUAUGGGGUGAAACUCCUUCUGUUAGAGAAAAAGAGAGGAAAAUGUAAAGGGGGCUUUGUUUUGCACCUUAGGCACGAGCACAGCCAUAGUGGGGGUAGAGAACCUGGGAACUGAGUGAACAUAGGCAGUAGCCAGGGAAUGGUAACAGCAGGACUUGGACAAGACCCAGUGCUGUGCUGGCUUCAGGUCUGACCCAGUGCAGUCAUAGAUGUGGUGGCCACAGGGCUAUCUGUUUCACUCCAUCCCAGUUUUAGGUGGCUCAGAACACAGACAGACUCUAUGUUUGGGAGAAAGUAAGGGAAGAGAACAACCGCCUCUGCCUGGUAAUCCAGAGAAUUAUCCCAGAUCUUGUCCAAGACCAUCAAGGCAGUACUUCUACAAGUCUGCAAGAAUCACAGUAUUAUUGGGCUUGGGGUACCCUGUAAAGCAUAUACCAUUUAGAUAACAAUAUCAAAGUUCUUUCAAAUACCUGAAAAACUUUCCCAAGAAAUAUGGCUACAAAAACCCCAGAGAGUGAAGACUAUAAUAAAUACCUAACUGUUUAAUGCCCAAACACUGAAGGACAUCUACUAGCAUCAACACUAUGCAGGAAAACAUGAACUUACAAAUUGAACUAAGUAAGGCACCAGGGACCAAUCCUCGAGAAAUAAAGAUAUGGGACUCUUCACACAGAGAAUUCAAAAUAGCUGUGUUGAGGAAACUCAAAGAAAUUCAAUAUAACACAGAGAACUAAUUCAGAAUUCUAUAAGAUAAAUUUAACAAAUAUAUUAAACCAAUUAAAAAUGAUCAAGCAGAAAUUUUGGACCUGAACAAAGCAACUGGCAUACCGAAGAAAGAAUCAGAGCCCUUUAAUAGCAGAAUUGAUCAAGAAGAAGAAAGAUUUAGUCAGCUUGAAGACAGACUAUUUGAAAAUACACAGAGGACACAAAAGAGAAAAGAAUAAAAAGAUGAAGCAUGCUUACAGGAUCUAUAAAAUAUCUUCAAAAGGGCAAAUCUAAGAGUUAUUGGCCUUAAAGAGAAAGUAGGAAAAGAGAUAAGGUAGAAAGUUUAUUCAAAGGGAUAAUAACAGGGAACUUCCCAAACCUAGAGAAAGAUAUCAAUAUCCAAGUAGAAGAAGGUUGUAGAAUACCAAGCAAAUUUAACCCAAAGAGGACUACCUCAAGGCAUUUAAUAAUCAAACUCCCAAAGGUUAAAGAUAAAGAAAGGAUCCUAAAAUCAACAAGAGAAAAGAAACAAAUAGCAUACAAUGGAGCUGAAAUACAUCUGGCAGCAGACUUUUCAGUGGAAACCCUAUAGGUCAGGAGACAGUGCCAUGACAUUUGAAGUGCCAAAGGAAAGAAAAGUAAACAUUUACCCUAACAUAGUAUAUCAAGUGGAAAUAUCCUCUAAACAUAAAGGAGAAAAAAAAAGACUUUCUCAGACAAACCCAAGUUGAAGGAUUGUGUUAAUACCAGACCUGUCCUACAAGAAAUGCUAAACGGAGUACUUCAUUCAGAAAGGAAAAGAUACUAAUGAGCAAUAAAUAAUCACCUGAAGGUACCAAACUUACUGACAAUAGCAAGUGCACAGGAAAACAUACACUUAUUGUAACACUGUAAUUGUGGUGUAUAAACUAGUCUUAUUCUAAGCAGAAAGAUUAAAUGAUGAACCAAUCAAAAAUAAUAACUACAACAGCUUUUCAAGAUAUAGAUAGUACAAUAAGAUAUCAAUAUUAUACAAACAAUGAAAAGUUAAAAAGUGAUGGUAAGAAGUUAAGAAUCUUUGGCUUCGCAUGGGUCUUAAGCGGUUUGCUCAUUACACCUUCCAGGCUCCAGAGAGGCUGUCCCUAACCAGCUAGAGAUCUAUACUUGAAGGCCAUUAUCAGCAAAGACUUGAUAUACCCAAUAAAGGAGCUUGCUGAACUCAUCUCAGCUGUGAUGGGCAUGAAACUCUUCCACAGAUUAUCUCAGCUCAGUCAGUUAAGCCACAUUUAUUAAGCACCCACUUUGCAGAAUUCAUUGUGGAACCAGGACUUUGAAUAGGAUUAAGCAGACAAAAAGGAAUGGAGAUGCUGGGAUGAUGGGCCAAAACCAAGAAGAAGUUUAAUUGGAAUAUACAUGUAAGGUUAUGCACUUGUUUCUAAACACAGAAACAAACAAACAACAAUUAUAACAAAACGAUGGCAGCAAAGAAAGGAAAUGCGCUUAGUAUUGGCCUCUAUACUCAAAGGUUAGGGAAUUUACUUACCUGCAAAUUUAGUAUGAGUCAGUGGAAAAAUGUGGCUAAUGAAAGAAAUGUGUUUUAAACUGUAUAAAUAGAAACAUAACUAAAUAAUGUUUAAAUAUUCAUAGUAGUCUAAAUAUAGUAAAAUGGUGCAUAUUUAUUUUAAAGAAUAAAUAAUUUU
rnacentral:lncRNA from 1 species